GAUGAACGCUAGCUACAGGCUUAACACAUGCAAGUCGAGGGACCGGCGCACGGGUGAGUACCACGUAUCCACCCUGUCCUUUACUCUGAGAUCUCCUUUCGAUAGAAAGAUUAAUACCCGAUCUAAUGGCUGGGGAUGCGUUCCUUUAGGUUGUUGGUGAGGGAACGGCUCACCAAGCCUUCGAUGGAUAGGGGAUCGGAGAGGAAGGUCCCCUACAUUGUAACUGGGACCCGUGCCAAACUCGUACGGAAGGCAGGAGUGAGGAAGACUGGUCAAUGGGCGCUAGCCUGACCCAGCCAAGUAGCGUGAAGGAUGAAGGCUUAUGGGUCGUAAACUUCUUUUAUAUAAGAAUAGGUAUUAGAUGAAGAAGGAUCGGCUAACUCCGUGCCAGCAGCCGCGGUAAUAG
rnacentral:rRNA from 1 species